CUGCUGGAGGACUGCAUUAGGAUUCACAAGGAGAGAGUGGUAGGGAGGAGGAGGGUGGGGGGAAUUGAUCUAGUACCAGGGAGAAUAUUCCACUGAACUGUGAUUUUAUGGCUUAGGGCAGGGUGUGGGGUGGGGGUGGAUUCUUUAAAGGGCCCUGCAAUGUGUUCCUCUGUGGUGUGUGGGAGUGGGGAGCAGACUUGUCUUGCUGUCUUUGUCAGGAUUUCUAAGUAAGGGCUGUGUCUUUGUGGAUUACCUUUUCUUCCUGCCAGAGAUCACAUUAGGAAGAUGUUGGGGAUAGAUUUAGCUUGAUUUGUUUUCUUUGUUCUUUUCUUCUGUCUGCUCCCUGCUUAACCCUUGGUUUUCUCAUUCCUCUGGAGUUCUCUUAGAGCAGCCCCUGUUGUUAGUUGGCUGGCAAGGGAAUUUCUGAUGACUGUAGUUCCUUAGUUAGGUCUUAGCAAUCAAACCAAAUCAAUGUCUCCCUUUAUGUUUCUUCGUGUGUGUGUGUGUGUGUGUGUGUGUGUGUGUGUGUGUGUGUUCGUUCAGGGUAGAGGGGAGGGAGGGGGCAGAACAGGUGGAAUCUAGGUGUAUGGGUAGGUAGGGGGCAUGGUUAGUUCUAAGUGAGUCUUUUGGCAUGUCUGUGUGGGAGUGGAUACAAGUGUUACCACCUCCCACUCCCCAGUCAUCUAGAUCAGAUUUUCUGCCCUAUUUGGUUGCCUGCUCCCUGAGAAGGCUUUGGGACAAGAUGGCUAUGCUGCUGUCUGCCUUGGAGCUGGGUCUCUGUGGAGGGGAAAAGUGACUUUGCAGAUGGUUACAGCCUCUGGUGGGGAGGUAGGAUGGAAGUAAUAAAGGGCAGGGAAGAGCUUCAGUGGAGCUUGAGUGGAGGUGAAA